GACGAACGCUGGCGGCGUGCUUAACACAUGCAAGUCGAACGGUAAGGCCCUUCGGGGUACACGAGUGGCGAACGGGUGAGUAACACGUGGGUGAUCUGCCCUGCACUUCGGGAUAAGCCUGGGAAACUGGGUCUAAUACCGGAUAGGACUCCUGGCUUCAUGGUUGGGGGUGGAAAGCUUUUGCGGUGUGGGAUGGGCCCGCGGCCUAUCAGCUUGUUGGGGGGGUAAUGGCCUACCAAGGCGACGACGGGUAGCCGGCCGGAGAGGGUGACCGGUCACACUGGGACUGAGAAACGGCCCAGACUCCUACGGGAGGCAGGAGUGGGGAAUAUUGCAAAAUGGGCGCAAGCCUGAUGCAGCGACGCCGCGUGAGGGAUGACGGCCUUGGGGUUGUAAACCUCUUUCAGCUAUGACGAAGCGCAAGUGACGGUAGUAGCAGAAGAAGGACCGGCCAACUACGUGCCAGCCGCCGCGGUAA
rnacentral:rRNA from 1 species